CAUUCUCUCUGAACGGAAGAGUGCAGAAAAUAGGGCUCUUCUGCUUCCGAGUCUUCUCUCUUGUGGCGAUUUAGAGGUUGCGUCACGGAGACGCAGCUCAGCUCCUCUAUAAAAGCGCUGAGACUCUCUUUCCUCCUUCCGCCUCUGCCGUCUCCUGAUCCGGUAAGGUUUUCUUUUUGAUUGCCCAUUAGAUCUGGUCCCGCUCCGAUCUUCUAGAGAUUGGAGGCGGUCUUCAUUCUCUCUGAACAGAAGAGUGCAGAAAACAGGGCUCUUCUACUUCUGAGUCUUCUCUUUUGCGGCGAUUUAGAGGUUGCGUCGCGGAGAGGCAGCUCAGCUCCUCUAUAAAAGCGCUGAGACUCUCUUUCCCCUUCCGCCUCUUCUGUCUCCUGAUCCGGUAAGGUUUUCUUUCGAUUGCCCAUUAGAUCUGGUCCCGCUCCGAUCUUCUAGAGAUUGGAGGCGGUCUUCGUUCUCUCUGAAGGGAAGAGUGCAGAAAAUGGGGCUCUUCUACUUCCGAGUCUUCUCUCUUGCGGCGAUUUAGAGGUUGCGUCACGGAGACGCAGCUCAGCUCCUCUAUAAAAGCGCUGAGACUCUCUUUCCUCCUUCCGCCUCUGCCGUAUCCUGAUCCGGUAAGGUUUUCUUUUUGAUUGCCCAUCAGAUCUGGUCCCGCUCCGAUCUUCUAGAGAUUGGAGGCGGUCUUCAUUCUCUCUGAACGGAAGAGUGCAGAAAAUAGGGCUCUUCUACUUCCGAGUCUUCUCUCUUGCGGCGAUUUAGAGGUUGCGUCACGGAGACGCAGCUCAGCUCCUCUAUAAAAGCGCUGAGACUCUCUUUCCUCCUUCCGCCUCUGCCGUCUCCUGAUCCGGCCGAAAAUGCUAAAUUACCCUCAGCCUGCUGUGUAAUUGUCUCAGUAUUACUCUUUUGGGCUCUUACAAAGCAAUGGAUCCAAAUGUUGCACGAGCUGUUGAGUAAUUUCCAACUGGUUUUGGUGAUUUGCUUUUAUUAGUUGAGAUAAAAAAAAAUAAAACGAAUUAUUAAUUUGGUUUCGGCAUUAUAAAAAAAAAAAAUUGUAUUUGAAAAAUAUUUAUGUAGUUAGACGAGCAAAGAAGAAAAAUGUUUUUGAUGAUAGUUAAAUUCAAAAUUUAAAAUAAAAAAUCACACUCAAUACAUCUUGGUGCUGGAUUCAAAUAUUUUCUUUCGAAAAAAGAAACUUACGUACGUGUAUUAAUAUCGGUGCCUGUGCGCAUUUUCAAAAUUUUCACGAGUCUGCUGGAUUCAAAUAAUGUAUCGUUCUUGUUUCUCUCACGCUUUUUGGUUGUAUUUGAGCAAUAAUUUGUCAGAGGCAGCAAGCCAGAUCUGGAAAUAUGGCAAGUUUUUAGAAAUUGGUGCUGCGCGUUUAAUCAUCUUUAACCAACAAGACCUUAUGCUGGUUUUCAGGUAAUUCUCUUUUGUUUCGCUCCCUUUCAAUCUUCUUUAAGAUCUCAGAAUGGAAGUCCCCAGCUUCCUAUCUCUUAGUCUCCUCUUAAACCUGAAGGUCAUUAUUUUUGGCCCGUCCAACAGUUCUGUUGCAGUCAAGAGAAAGGUUUCCAGGAUAUGCUUGAGAUGCUUGCCUCGUACAAGGAGGGGGUGUGUACCAUGUGGGAACCGUGUUCCCAUAAUCUUGAUUCUGUCCGGUUCCAUCCAAAGUGCAUAAAGAAACCUAGUUCCCACGCUGGAAACUGAUAACAGUGCUCGGUAUUUUAUGUUUAUUACCAGUUAUUGUUAAUUUAUUGCGUGACUUUCAUGGGAGUUGCAUAAAUAUGUCUUGAUCCCUUUUCUUGUUCUUUGAUUUACCUGGACCAUAUUCUGAAAAUAUUGUAAUCGUCGCUCGGUAAGGUUAUGGAUUGCUGGUUCAAGAGGUUUGCAAUAUCUAUUUUCACUCGUAUCACUUGGUGCUGGAUUCAUAUGUUUUUCUUCUGUAAUAAAAAGUUACGUAUGUGUAUUAAUACUGGUACCGAGGGGGCACUGCGCACUUACAAAAUUUUUACAAGUCCGCUGGAUUAAAAUAAUGUGACGUGCUUUGUUCCUCUCGGCGCUCUUUGCUUGUAUUUGAGCAAUCAUUUGUUAGAAGCAGCAGGCCAGAUCUGAAAAUAUGGCAAGUUUUUAGAAAUUGAUGCUGCGCCUUUUAGUUGCCAACACGUUCUUAUGUUGGUUUUCAGGUAAUUCUCUUUUGUUUCACUCCCUUUUAUUCGUCUUUAAGAUCUCGGAAUGGAAGUCCUCAGCUUCCUUGUCCCCCACAUCUUUGAGUCUCAUCUUAAAGCUGAAGGUCAUUAUUUUUGGCCUGUCCAGCAGUUUUGUUGUGGUUGAGAGAAAGGUUUAAAGGAUGCAUGAGAUGCUUGCCUCGUACAAGGGUGUCUAUUAUGUGGGAACCGUGUUCCCAAAAUCUUGAUUCCGUCUGGUCCAUAGUCCCUGCAAAGUCAUUCCAUCCAAAGUGCAUAAAGAAACAUAGUUCCCACGUUGGAAACUAAUAAUGUUGUUCCGUACGACGUUUGUUACCAGUUUAUUUUUUGUUUGAUGUUCGCGGGAGUUGUAUCAGUAUGUCUUGAUCCCUUUUCUUGUUUUUUGAUUUACAGGGACCAUAUUCUGACAAUAUUAUAACGCUCGCUCGGUAAGGGUGUGGAUUGCUGGUUCGAGAGGUACGCGACAUCUCUAUUUACACUCGUAUCACUUGGUGCUGGAUUCAAAUAUUUCUCUUUGGAAGUAAAAGUUACGUAUUUGUUUAAUGUUGGUACCAAAGGGGUACUGCUGCGCAUUACAAAAAUUUCUACAAGUCUGCUAGAUUCAAAUAAUAUUUCUCUCACGCUUUUUGGUUGUAUUUGAGCAAUAAUUUGUCAGAGGCGGCAGGCCAGCCAGAUCGGGAAAUAUGGCAACUUUUUAGAAAUUGAUGCUGCGCGUUUACUUUACCAACAAGUUCUUAUGUUGGUUUUCAGGUAAUUCUCUUCCGCCCCGCUCCCUUUUAAUCAUCUUUAAUAUCUCAGCAUGGAAGUCCUCAGCUUCCUUGCCCCCCGGGCCCCACUUCUUUUAGUCUGCUCUUAAAGCUGGAGGUCAUUUUUUUUUGACGUUUGUUGUAGUCAAGAGAAAGGUUUCUAGGAUGCAUGAGAUGCUUGCCUCGUACUAGGGUGUCUUUUAUGUGGGAACCAUGUUCCCGUAAUCUUGGUUCUGUCUAUGGUUCGUAGUCCCAUAUGAACGAGGAUGCUGUGUUCUCGGGAUUUUUAUCUGAUGCGAGAAAGGUCGUCAUUCUUUAUUUCGAAGCCACAUUAGAUUGAUUUUGUGUCCCGGUAAAAGUGCCCUACUUUAUUUUAUUGAAAGUGAGAGUAAAUUGAUUUAUUGUUUCAAAAUAAAUUUGCGUCCGUGUUUAAUGGAAAAUUUUACGAUUUCUUCGGAGAAAGUAGAAUUCCCCAUGUCCUUCGGGUAGUUGGAACUUAAAAAGAAUGUGCUUGGAUCUUCUAACAGCAAGUAAAUAUUUUUGGGCAUUGUUUUAAGGUUCUUGCUUCCUUUGGUAGAAAAUAAUUUUUUAUGGUGUUCCGGUCCUGAAUUAUUGCUCAGAAACUGAAAGCAUGUUUUGUAAAUCUUUUAAAAAAUAAAUGAGCUUGAUGAACAAGAAAAUUUCCCAUUCUUGAGAAAACAAAAAAUGUUCCCUGUUCCCCCGGGUAGCACCAACUGUGAGAAAAUGUGUCUUGAGCAUUUUGAUUCCUAGUAAAUAUGUUUUAUGUGUGUCGCUUCUGCAGUGAAAGCUAUCGUGAUGGGCACCCUUUCUCUCUUAGACGUUGCAAUUGGAUUUUCUAGUAUUUGAUAACCAUUUACAAAAGAUAUGUAUGCUCGGUUUUGGGAACUUUCAGAUUUAGUUUAUUGGAGAAAUGUUGUUGGUAUGUGUUUUGAAGCUUCAUUCAUGAAAUAUAGCCGGUGAAGGAUCAUUGUGGGCCGGGUCUCUUGAGUAGAAAACAGUAUUUGUGCAGCCCUUGCAUGCACAAUGAAUGUUUUAUCUGAGAUUCUCGGUCCAAAAUGUAAGAGCUUCAAUUCCAUAUUAACUACAUUUCAGUCCCAAAAUACUAGGGAAGCCAAUAUUUCAUUUUGAAAGUUAAAGGGUGUUGAUAUGUGUUUUGAAGCUUCAUUCAUGAAAUAUAGCCGGUGAAGGAUCACUGUUGGCCGGGUCUCUUGAGUAGAAAACAGUAUUUGUGCAGCCCCUGCAUUCACAAUGAAUGUUUUAUUUGAGAUUCUCGGUCCAAAAUGUAAGAGCUUCAAUUCCAUAGUAACUACCUUUUCAGUCCCAAAAUACCAGGAAAGCCAAUAUUUCAUUUUGAAAGUUAAAGGUUGUUGCUGUGUGUUUUGAAGCUUCAUUUAUGAAAUAUAGUUGGUGAAGGAUCAAAAUUGGCCGGGUCUCUUUGAGUAGAAAACAUUAUUUGUGCAGCCCUUGCAUUCACAAUGAAUGUUUUAUUUGAGAUUCUGGGUCCAAAAUGUAAGAGGUUCAAUUCCAUAUUAACUACCCUUUAGUCCUAGGAAAGGCAAUAUUUCAUUUUGAAAGUGGAAGUUUUUGUCGAUAUUUCAAAACAAACUUAUGUGCCUCGGUGCAUGAGAACGUGAAUCUUGAUUUUUUGUGGCAAAAUGAAACUGCUUGCAACCCUCAAGAUGUACAGCCUCAAAAAGAUGUGGCUUAAAAUCUCAAGCCAAAGUUUGGGUGCGUCGGUUUGAAAGUGAGAGUUUCUUUGAUCACGCACUUUCUUUUGGAGAGUUAGGCGACGUUUCACUUAGUGGUGGCAAUAUGCUCUCCCAAUCUAUUUUUAGCGCGGACAGAAAAAGUUUCGUGCUAGGUUAUGGGAAUCGUCAUUAUACGUGGAAGAGGUUGCCGUUCUUUAUUUUGAAGCCACAUCGAUAAUCUAGUUGCAGCGUUUUUCCUCUGUAGAGGUGCCCCGAUUCGAUAUUUUGAAACCGACACUGUAUUUACUGAUUCUUUUAAAAUAAGUGUGCCCCUCGGUAUUCAAGCAGAAGUUUCUCUGUUUUUUGGGGAAGAGUAAAAUUGCUCUGUUCUCUUGGUUGGUUGGAACAUAGAAAGCAAUAUGUUUGGAUCUUUUGAUUGCAAGUAAAUAUUUUUUCGGCACGUGGUUUUAAAGCUUUUUGGCUUUUGUUAAAGAAUAGUUUUUUUAAAAAAAUAUAUAUACAAAAGAAUAGUUUCCUGUUUUGGAAGUUUCCUGGUUUGGGAAGUAAAGGAGACUCAAUUUAUACUUUAAAACCUAAAAGCUGUUUUUAUGCAUUAUUUAUGGAUAAAUGUGUGACUUGAUGCACAAGAAAAUGAAUUUUGAUUUCUUGGGGCAAUGUAAAUCUGCUUGGGUCCCUCUCGCAGUUCCAAGUUUUAGAAAAACUUGCAUUGACAAAGAUUCGAGGAUAUUGUGACAGCACCACUUCUGACACGGUAACUUGCUUUCAAUAUUUAGUUUACGUAAGGCAUACGAGAUGUGUUUUGAAGGUUUUGAAACCCAUGGUCUGUUGCUGCGAAAAUAUAUCAUUCGGAGUCCCGUAUUCAGAAAGUAAAAGGCCUCGAUUAAUCUUUUCGAAAGCUAGCCUGUCCAUUUAUUUUUUGAAAACGAUUUUUUUUGUUGGUCCCCUGAGCAAAUGUUCCUCAAUUUUUUGGGGCAAUGUGAGAUUUUGCAAAAUGUCCCUUGGAUAAUUCUUUCUCUAGCAAAAUGUCCCUUGAUCUUUUAGUUGGAAGUAACUAUUCUUUGCUAUGUUGGUUUAAUUAAAGUUUCUCUUGAUCUUUUGCUUUCGAAAUAAAUCUGCAGGUGUCCCCACAGGGAAAUUGUAGCAGUUGGAAAAGUAAGUGGAGGUCAAGUAAUUUUUUUAGAAACUGAAGGCGUGUUCUAUCGAUUAUUUUGAAAGAUAAGUGUGCCUUGGUGCAAAAGAAAAUGACUUUGGAUUUGCUGCAGCAAAGCAAAACUUUUUUGAUGCCCUGGGUUUUCGGAACUCUAAAAGUUGUGGUUUGGACUCUUGAUUCAAAGUAAGUGUUUUUGAGAAUACGUUGGUUUAAAGGAAAAGUAACUCUGAUAACAAACACCCUUUCUCUUGGAGAGUUGGCAGCCUUUCUCUACGUAACUGGCAGUGUGCUUUCUCAAUCAUUUUAUUGCUACGGGCGUAAGACAUGAUUGCUCGGUUAAAGGAGAUAUUCAUUUUAUUUGAGAAAGGCCUUCGUUCUUGAUUUGGAAGCCAAUUUGAUGAACUUCAGUAAAAGUGGGCGAAUUCUUUUUCUCGCAAAUGAGAGUGCUUUGGUUUAUUGUUUCAAAAUAAAUGUACUUUGACUCCUAGGCAACGGGUUUUUAAAUUUCCUUGGAAAAAGUAAAAUUCAUCCCGUUGCUCGGCCAGUUGGAGCUCAAAAAAAGCAUGCAUGUAUGCUGAAUUUGUCUUGGUUUUAAUCAUUGUUCUAAUGUAGGUCUUCAAAAAAUUGACCGAGAAAACUAUUUGAGAGAGCUAAACCAUCGAAGUCUAUCGGACCCAAAGUGUAGUAGUCUUACCAAACUUCAGAUCUUGUGGGAUCUUUUCUCUGUUUACUUUUUUUUUUUUUUUUUAAAGCAAUAUCUGUGGUUAAAAGAGAUUGGUAUGUUUAACAUGCAAGGCAACUACGGAGCCUGGCGUAACCGCGUCAAUAUUAUGUUGCUGACUUUUCUUUGCUGUAGGUACGUAGCGGGAAACUUGUUUAAGCGGAAAGAACGGAGUUUGUUCCAGUGGCUAUCUACACGAACAACGUGUGCUACGCGGAAUGUGAGUAUUAUGUUACCCUGGAUUGUCUUGAAAAUAUUUCUCUCGCUGCUACUUUGUUUAAGAAACAUUUGUAGUUAUACAAAAUUAACGUUUAGAACAUGCCAGACGGUUAAAAAGCUACAGAUAACAGGGUAUGCUAAUUUUGCCACCUUUUCCUUGGUGCAGCAAAUUGGAGCGAGGGUGAAGCCUUCCUAAGUGUAGAGCUACAGAUUGAAGGUUUUUGGACCCUACUUUAUUUAAUUUAAUAGUGGAACUUAUCUUUCUUGGAAAAUAGUAAAAGAGGCAAUCGGUCCUGCUUUGUUGUUGUUUACUAGAGACGUGUUAUUGAAAGGAACAAAUGAGGUUUCUUCCCGUUGCUGGUUAUGCAGGCGACGAGUGCGGCUGCGUGGCUUCUGAGUGUGAUUUUACUCCGUGUACAUCAUCAGGAAUGGAGUUUUUACUCUUACCGAGUUUUAUUUUAUAGGGUUGUCGUCCCGUAUUUGUAUCUGCAAUUUGUGUAGUGUUGGAACGGAAGUUUAUGGCUUGAACUUCCAUUUUGGUGGAUUUUCGUCUUGGGAAAUAAGUCAUUUAGCGUGGUCCAAUUCCAGUGGAGUUCAUGGCAACCACGUUGGCUCUUAAUAAGCGGACUGAUCCAGUGAAUAUCCUGCAAAUUUUGUGCAUGACUAGGGAUCUUUUGUUGAUAAAUAGAUCUCGGGGCGGUUGGGCGGCCGUUCAUCAAAACUAAUUUUACCAAACUAGUAGAAUUCUUGUCGUAGUUUAGAUUAUUGGAAUUUUUUUUCCGUUUUUGAUGUUUUAUUUUUGUCUGUUGUCCUUCAUUGCGUGUUAAGCAUUUGUCCUUUAUAUUACUCUACUCGAUUUUAGCUUUUUCAUUUGAUAAUUUUGUUCGCAUGAUCUGAUGCUGGAAUCAGGUUUCAGGUGUUCUGCAUGUCACGUCUGAUUUGUUAAUAUUUUUCAUCUCAUUAGGUAAUUAUCAUAUCGGCAUUGGUAGGUGAUAUUACUCUGCUCAAUUUUAAAUUUUAUUAUUUUGAUAAUUUCGUUCACAUGUGCUGAUGUUACAAUCACGUUUCAGGUUUUCCGCUUGCUAGCCAUUUUGUCAUAAUUUGGUCCCAUGACCUGUUAUAUAAAUUCUGAUUUAUCCUUUCAAAUGGUGCUUUUUCUCACAGCUAAAAUCCUCUCAAAGAUGAGUUCCCGUUUAAUAAUCCAUUGGUCAAGGUCGGUAAGAGAAAUUCAACCGUAGAGAUGUGUGGAGAAGUGUAUCGCAUAGCUCCAGUUACUCUUACUCAACAGCAGCAAGCUUUCCAUCAGAAAAGGAGAUCUAGAGCAUACCAGGGGAAGGGACCAACUGUGUUCCUUAAGGACGCGGAUUCCAUACCUCCUGAUGUAGACCCCAAUACAACCAGAUGGAUUCCAGCCAAUCAUUUUUUUGCAACCACUGCAGCUGACAUUGAUUAGACCUGGCACAAAACAAUAUGUAUCAGGAGCAUGGUGUUCCAUUUCGUAUUCAGGCUGAGCAUGAGGCAGUAGAGAGGAAGCUUGAAGCGGCUUGAAUGGCAUGCAUGGUAACAGAGAGUAACUUUUCACUAUAAAAUGCCCUAUAUAACCAUAUACAUUCUUCACUGAAGUUGCAUCCUACUGAAUAACUUACAGUAAAUCCUGUAGAAGGUCGGAAGCCUAACCCAUAAUGAACUAAUAGUGAAAGCACCAGCGGGCUAGUCAGUUUGGGCAUAAACCUAAAAUUGAGUUUCUCUACUUGCAUUAUCUCUUAUCAAAAUAUUAAUCCUGUAGUUUCAGGUGCUAAAGAUACUUGCAAUUAUGGAAGUAGAAAUCAUACUGGUAAACCUAUGAUGCGCCCUUGACUUUCGAUUCUAAGGCCUUGUUUUACCAGGACGGAUUUGAACCUUUCUUUGUUUUUUUUUUUUGACAAUUUUGGAGGUGGGUUCUGGAUGUUUGCUCAUAUGAAAAUAUGAAAUUGAUUUACCAGAUCAACACCAUAUAACAGAAUUUACGCUAUCCGAACUUUAUUCUGGGUUAUUCUAUUGCUUUUAAGUUAUUAAGGUCUGAAAUAUAUAUAUAUUAAAGUAAUUUCUUUAUGUGUGUCAGCUUUUUUAUUUAGGAGCGAAAGUUUAUUGGAGUUAUAUUUACUCAAAUUUUGUCCCAUUAAUAAUGAUAACUACUUAUGACACGUUACUCAGAAAAAAUUAUUUGUUGUUGUUUUUUGCAUGGAGAAAAAUUCAAUGACCCUUUCUUGUAUGACACCUUUAGCACUCAUUCCUAUUCAACAAUGCUCUAUGCAAAGGUAUUCUUGUAUGACACCUUUAGCACUCAUCGAUACCUGCGGUAAAGUACAAAGAAAAUAAAAGAAAAACGGCCCGCAAACUGUUUCAACCACUCAUUCUUGACAGCUGCAGCUUGUCUAGCGCCAACAACAAAGAACUCUGUAAUGACUUCGAGAGGCAUGCCUUUGGUUUCUGGGACUUUCAGGAACACAAAGAUCCAAGAGAUGAAGCACACAAUCGAAUAUAUGCUGAAGACGCUUGCUAAGCGUUUUGAAUUGAUCAUUACAGGCAGAGCGUAUGUCACAAUAAUGUUGCCGACCCAAAAAACCGUGGCACAGAUAGUAAUGCAAAUGCCACACCCUUGUAGGGAAGAUCACAGUGCAGAGGAUAUUUGGAAUUGGCCCAUAUGCCAUGACGAGGCCGCAGAUGUGUGAUACACAAGCUGAUGGCGUUGCUGCAUUUAUAACUGUGCUCAACUUCACUAGUGGGCCAAUAACUAGAAUGAUUAGUGACACUAUUAGUGCAGGAAUUGUCGCAAGUAGCAGCCGCCUGGCAAUGAAGGAUGUGUGAGUUAAAGAGAAAGUAAAAUAUUAUGAGCAAAUGCAUCUUGGGAGACACUGUAUAUGCUAUAUUUAUCUGUUGCUAUUGGGGAAACCAAGGCUCUUGGUCCACCUGAUGGCCACAAGCCUCUGAGAUUUUUUUAGUGAUUUGAUCAAUUAAGAGCUAUUUUGCUUUUGCAUGCAGAUUUUCAAGUACGGGAAUGCAGGAAACUCCAAGAACAAAAAUAGAUAAGCAUAAAAGAAAAAUAGGGGUUGGAGUUUGCUUCUUUUGCUAGUAAAUCAUGGUACCAAUAGAAAAGGCAGCUGUCAAUGCUAAAAUGUGUAAUCUUGCCACUAUUAUUCAUCACAAAUUCUAUUCGCAUGUCUAGAAAAUUUUUUUGGUCAGAUCGAUGCACAUUUCUAAUAAACAUGUCCUGGAUUUUGUUAUGUUUUCCUUUUUCUUAAGCUUUGUUGCAGCUGUCAUGGCAAUUAUUCGGGACCAUUAACUAGUAAUUCAGGUAACUUCAUUGCAACGGCGUGGCAAUUGAGGUGUUUGGUUCAUAUAUUAAAUUAUAUUUUUUGUUAUUAAAGCUGGUCUAAUAUGACUAAAACACAUCUUGAAAUUUUUUAUUUAAAAUUUAUGAGAAUUUAAAAAUUAUUUUAGAAAAUAUUAUAUAUUAAUUUUCAGUUUUAUUUGUUAAUAAAAAAAAUAACAGUAAUAUAAUUAUAUUAUAUAUAUUUGAUGGCUUUUUUUAAUCCUAUUUAUGACUUUUUCUUUUUUACUAUAAAGGGGAUUGUUUAAAAGAGUGAAGCUCGGAAAAUGCAGCCGACCCCUCAUCUCUUAUCCUUAUUAUAUAACAGAAGCUGAUGACUUCGUCGCCUAAUUCUAGGUACGUAAAUUUUGUCAAUCGAAGCGGAAGCCUGCUAUGCUGUUAAUGCUGCUAUCUAUUCUCUUUUGUAUGGUUGUUGUUUUGUUUUGAUUCCUGUCAUAUGUUUUUUAGAUCAAUACCACUGUAUGUGAUUUUUUUUUUUCUUUUUCUUUGUCGGAGUUCUCAUCAUUUUGUUUUUUUUUUUUGUAUUAUUGAGAUGAAAUUGUUAGUUUGAAUCCUGAUAGCUCAAGAGUGCUGUUUAGUUUUUUGCGCACCGGCAGGCUUGUCACUUCUUCUGUUGAAGUUGGCAUAAUGGCUGAUCUAAUGUGGUAGGCUAUGUGGUUUUACACAAGUUAACAUGCAGCACCUGUAGAAGGUAAUCUCUUCACUGGAAAUGUUGAGAACUUAGUUAAUCCAUUUGUUGAUUUGCAUGACUUUGUUCAAUGAGUUUAGUCAAAGAUGCAAAUGGAAGGUUCUUAAAUGAUUUUUUUUUAUUUAGUUGUUGUGGUACAUUAGGUAAUGACUGUAUAGAUUUAUGUUAGAUACAUUUCUUCGACUAUAGUGAAACAGAGAAAACGAACGACCAUUAUUAGUAACUGCUUGGAAUUCAGUUGCUGAUCUAAUUAAUGUUAGCUAUUUACUGAGAGGAUUUUUUUUGUUUUUGUAAUCAAAGAGAAACUUACUUCAUUUAUUGUGACCCAUUUCUUGCUGUCACAUUCAAUUAUAUUCUUUUAGCAUUUUUGAAAUUUUCGAAUUUGCGUUGGUUUUCUUCUUCUUUUUUCUUGUAUUUGUUAUAGGGGCGGAGGGGGACAGAAGAGGGUUUUAUCUCUGCUAUGCUGGUAAGAUUUUUCUUCAUUCUGUUAUUUUUUUUACUCGAGGCUUCUGAAAAUUAAAACCACAAAAAAAAAUUAAGAAAAGAAAAAAAAAAAAAAAACCGAACAAAGAAAAGGGCAAUUAAAUUGCCAGGAAACAAUUUUUCAGGUACCUGGGGUGUGGAAGGAGGGAGCCCAGGGGAAUAAAUUUGCUGGGAUAUACACACGUCAUGCAGAAAAUCAGCACUUUGUUUGGGUGCAGCAGUGAUGGACCUGGGUGCUCUACGCAAGCCCACCAGCACACUCACCAGUGAGCGCGUACAUAAUGCAUUGUGCCCCCGUGCAUUUGCCCCGUCGCUGUUUCAAGCCAUUAUGCCUCAGAUGACAUCAAAAAAGUAAUUUCAACCUCAUCUGAUAUUUUUGUUAUGUAGGACAAAUAAUGUUGAUUUGUUUAAUCAGGGAUUUAGAAAUAAAAUGAGACAUCGCACCUAGAGUUUUUUAAACAUCAUAUUUAAGACGUUUUAAGAAUCACACUUAAGUGUUCGAUUGUAUUAUUUUCUUUAAAUAUCUUUUUCUAACUAGAGAUAGAUUAGAAAAUAAUAAAUUAAUAAAAUUAAAAAUAUUAAUCUUAAUAAAAAUGAGAAAUUAACACUAAUAAUGUUAGAAAUCCUAAUAAGAAUAAAAAUCUCAAGUUACUAAAAUUAAAAUAAUAUUCUUAAAUAAUAAUUAAUUAUAAUUUUUAAUUUUUUAAAUUACGUUUUUUACUCUUCACGCUUGGUGAAUUUUAAAUUAAAGCAUAUGCCCUUUAUAAUUUUAUUCACAUGCGCUGAUGUUGGAAUCAGGUUUCAGGCGUUCUUCAUGUCAAGUCUGAUUUGUUAAUAUUAUGUAAUCAUUGUAUCCGCGUUGGUGGAAGUUAUAUUACUCUGCCCAGUUUUAGUUUUUAUCAUUUUGAUAAUUUUGUUCACAUGUGCUGAUGUUAAAGUUACGUUUCAGGAUUCCUGUGACCUGUCAUAUGAAUGAUAAAGGGCAUAUGCUUGAAGCAGCACAAAAUGUAAGCAGCUUGAAUGACAUGCAUGGUAACAGAGUAAUUUUUCACUAUAAAAUGUUCCAAAUAACCAUAUAUUCUUCAGUGAAGUUGCAUCCUUACUGAACAACUUACAAUAAAUCCCGCAGAAUGUUGGAAGCCUCACCCAUAACGAACUAAUAACGAAAGCACUAGCAGGCUAGUCAGUUCGGGCAUAAACCUAAAUUUGAGUUCCUCUCCUCGCAUUAUCUCUUAUCAAAAGAUUAAACAUGUAGUUUCAGGUUCCUAAGAUACUUGCAAUUAUGGAAGUAGAAACCAUGUUGGUAAACCUAUGAUGUGUCCUUAACUUUUGAUUCUAAGGACCUGUUUUACCAGGAAGGAACUAAACAUUUCUUCUUUUUUUAUGGGUUCUAGAUGUUUGCUAUUGAUUUACCAUAUCAACACUACAUAGCAUAAUUUAUGAUAUCUGAACUUUAUUCUGCAUUGAUCUAUUGCUUAUGAGGUAUUCGUGUCUGAAAUAUAUAUGUUAAAGCAAUUACAUGUCUAGAAAAUUUCUUUGGUCAGAUUGAUGCACAUUUCCACUAAACAUGUCCUGGAUUUUGUUCUGGUUUCCUUUUUCUCAAGCUUUGUUGCAGCUGCCAUGGCAAUUACGCAAGACCAUUCAACUAGUAAUUCAGGUAACCCCGUUGCAACAGUUGUGGUAAUUGAGGUGUUUGCCUCAUAUAUUAAAUUAUGUUUUCUGCUCUUCACACAUGCUGAGAUAUGAAUUUAAGCUGGUCUAAUAAGGCUAAGCGCAUCUUGAAACUAUUAAGCCUUAUCUUCACUGAAAUCUAGUGGAGACUUUUCAUCAAAACUAAUUUUACCAAACUAAUAGAAUUCUCGUCCUAGUUGACAUUAUUUUGGAUUUUUUUUCCCUUUUUUCUUUCCUGAUUUCUUAUUUUCAUCUGUUGUCCUUCGUUGCAUGUUAAUCAUAUGUUCUUUCCCUUCUGCACCUCCCCUAUUCAGCCUGAUCCAAUCAUCCUGUCACCAUAAAGAUUUAAGAUAAACCAAAUGUGAGCAAAAACAUCUUUACCUUUUCUUUUAUUUUUAAAAAUUUUUCUUCCUAAAAAGUUACAAGGAUUAUUGAACUAAACAGAUUAUUGGUCAAACUUUUACAUAUUUCUUCUUAGUUGGUAGGUUUUUCUUUUUUUUUUUUGAAAAAAAAAUAUUACAUAUAGUUUUUUUACUGAUUGAUGAUCAAUCAAUAUUGCCUCUUUAAUGGUUGAAAUUUGCAGUGGGUUACAUAUUUAUCUUUUUGUUCAUGUUCUUUCCUAAUUCGUUAAUUUCUUUGAAAAUAUAUAAUGACUGCAUAUUUUUAGGAUGUAUUACUCUAUAUUUAUGUGAUUUAUUAAUUCGUAUUUUUAUAAUUUUUUACUAUUUAUUUUUAGGAGUGUUUGUUGAUUGUAUAGUAAUUCGAAAGUAUGUAUUUUAUUACAAAAGAAAAAUAAUAUUAACAGAAAAUAAAUAAGAAUUAAUUAAAAAUGUUAUGCAAAUUUAAAUUUUAAAUCAAUGUAAAAAUAUUUGUUUUAUAGGUUUAUUAUUUUAUUUUAUGUAUAUAAGAUAACAAUAUUAGCUAAAAUAAUAUAUUUUAUUAUAAAAAUAGAAUAAUAUUGUCAGAGAACAAGUAUUAUUAAAUAGGAAAAUAUUAGUUAAUUUAUCGUAUAUAGAAUUAUAAAUAUAUUUUAAUUUAUAUAAUAAAAUUUUUAAGAUAAAUAUUGAUAUUUAAUAAGUAUUGUAAUAUUUAAAACAUUUUUAAAAAAUUUGUAGGUAAAUUAAAAUUAAAUUUUAUUUUCAAAUUUAAAAUGUUUAAAUAGGAAAUUUUUAUAAAAAUUAAAAUAUGGUAUUUAUUUUUAAUAAAAUAUUAAUACAUUAAUAUUAUUUUUAUAUUUAAAAUUUUUAAGAAUUUAAAAAUUAUUUUAUAUGUAUUAAUUUUAAGGUUAGUUAAUAAAAUAAAAUAAUAAGAAUAAUAUAAAUAGUUUAUAUCAUAUAUAUUGUACGAGACAGUUUUUAUUUUUUUUUUACGCUGUUUACAGUUUUUUUUUUAACGCUAAAAAAGACUUUAAAAGAGCUGGUUUACAAAAUCCGACCGAGCUCAUCCUCAAACCCGUUUCUGCAUAUGAUAUUCAGAGGCGGUGGACUAAUGAACCCUAAAACUUCAAAUUGAGAAAGUUGUUCAAUCCCAGGUACAUGAAUUUUGUCAACUGAAGCGGAUGACCGCUAUUCUUUUAACGCUGCUGCUAUAUAUUUUCCUUCGUGUUAUUGCUGUUUUGUUUUGAUUUCUGUCAUAUAUUUUCUUGAUCAAGACCCCACAGUAUUUGAGUAUUUUUUUUUCUUUCCCCUUAUUGGAGUUUUUAUUAUUUUGUUUUUUUGUUUUUUUUUGUAUUACAGAUAUGAAAUUGUUAGUUUAAAUUAUGAUGUUAUAUGAUAUAUUUUAUUAUAAAAAUAUUAUUAUUAUUGAGUGAAAAUAAAUUAAAAUGAAAUAAUUAUUAAAAAUAAAUGCUAUAAAAAUUUUAAAAUUGAAUAUUAAUAAAUAAGAAAAUAUUAGUUUUUAUUAGUUAAUUAUCUUAUUUUAUGUGUAUAAAUAAUUAUUUUUUUUUAACCUUUGAUGGUUAUCAUAUUUUCGUAUUCGUGAUUAACUUUAUCAAAUCUCUUUGCUCUUCUCCCAUUCUUUCUCUUUCUCGACCUUCUUUACUGAUACAUGUUGAGGGUACUUUUGCUGAAAAUUUCAAGUUUUCUAACUUCUCUCCUCCUCCUCUUCCUCUUUUCUCUCCUCUAAGAUUUAUUUUUUCAUCUCCUCUUUUGUUAAUCUUUUCUUAUUAGUUAUUUUAACAGGCAAUUUCCAAUGGAAGUCAAGACUGGGAAGAACAAAAUAUUUUGACGGUAUCUGUUUAUGCCUUAUUCUUCAUCACCAAGUUGUUUUGAAUUUUUAAUGCAACCUUAUUAACUAAUAUUGUAGGUUUUUUUUUUGCAAAUUUAUUAUUGAAAGUAGUUGCUACAAAUGUUUUAAUAGUUGGCAUUGAACCAAUAUUAAUAAAAGAAUCAAGAUACUAACCCUUAGAAUCAGUCAAGAAGCUUCUCAACGAGAACUAUACCUGCUUUGAGCUUAUCUUACUAGUAACUUUUUUAAACUCAAAUGUACGUGAGUACUCGUGCAUAACCAUCUUAACCAAGUCGAUCUUAUAUUCUUUUUGUAUUGUAUGUAUAAAUUUGAAGUUUUCAAUGUUACAAAACAGUAUUCUUCGCAAAUUCUAUACGCUAAAGAUGAUUGUGAAAUGGUAAAAUUAGUUUAUAGGUUAGUGGAUGAUGAAUUCUGUCAAACGGAUUGCUUGAAGGAGUCUCAUACUUUUCUCAUUUUAUUUGUGAUGUGUUAUUAUGUAAUUCUUUUAUUUUAGUUACAGAUAAAUAUUUUCUCAAGAGGUUUACCGUUUUAUGAUGUUGUUUUUGCAAGAGUUUUCUGCAAAAGUUCAAGAAGAAAUUAUGAUGAAAUGUAUUUUUUUUUAAUUGUUUUAGCUUAAAGUUGAUGUUUAAUAUCUACUUAAUACUGUUAAAAAAUUGUAUUUUUGCAUAUAUACUCUUUUCUUAAUAGACGUAGGUGAUGAAUUUGAUAUCUCAAUGGUGACAAAAACCAAGAUGAUCAAAGGGGUUUGAUUAAGAUCUAAUUGAAGGUAUGUGUGUCUUUUAUAUGAAAUUGUUUUUUUCUUUUCAUCUUUCUCUCAAGUUUUUUUCGGUCCUAAUAGGUGCUAUUAGGCUGUAAAUAAUCUCUAUAAAUGUGAAUAUUAUAAAUAGAUAAAUAAUAUUUUUUAAAAUAUUUUGAUAACAACUUUUGAUAUAAUUAGAUAAUAACUAUUUUUUCUCAAGUUAUGAUUAAAAAAUUUAUAUUAAUGUUAAGAUUUCUCAUACAUAAGUUUUUCUUAUAAAACUUUAAAUUCUCUAUGAAUUUUUACUUUAGUUUUGAUAAUAUUUAUUUUUGCACAACUCUAAAUAAAUUACAAGAAUAAAAAUUAUCAAGAAAGAAAAGUUUAUUAAUAAUAGCAAUAGAUAUAGGCGUUAGUAUAUUCAUGAAAAUAGUUUAUAUGUUUCUUGGAUCUAGUCUGAUUUGUUAAAAUUUUUCAUCCUCCUUAUAUAAUCUAUCAUGUCCGCAUUGGUAUAAAUUAUAUUACUCUACCCGAUUUUAGAUUUUUCAUUUGAUAAUUUUGUUCACAUGCGCUGAUGUUGGAAUCAGGUUUCAGGUGUUCUGCAUGCCAAGUCUGAUUUGUUAAUAUUUUCUAUCUCAUUAUUUAAUCAUCAUAUCCGCGUUGGUAGAAGUUAUGUUACUCUGCCCAAUUUUAGUUUGUAUCAUUUUGAUAAUUUUAACUCGGUUUGGCCCAGAUCAUUUUGGUUGUUCAUUCUUCGAUGUUGCUUUAGAUGUACAAACUCUAGUUUUCUGUUUAUUUUACAAGAAACUCAUGGAAAAACAAUUGCCCAUAUUGUGCUAUGUUAUAUUCUUCUCAUGAUGGUGGCAGCCUGCAGAUGUUCUGCAGUGGUCUUUCUGAAGAACAGGGCAUUUAAUUUAUUAAAGUAUCAUUAGUUAUGUCAUAAGGUAGAAAUUGUACUUCUCGCUUGUUUGAUCUGAAAAGGAUGUGAAUCAUACCAUUUUAUGUUUUAGGAAAUGUGCAGAAAUUGAAAAGUUGUAACUUGUGACCACUUGGUUUUCUACUUUGUUUCUCUGCUGUUAUAAAGUUGCAAAUGGUCUUGAAGCACACUUGAGAUACUCAUAGCUACAUCUUCUUAAAGCCCAUAUUUGGUUGUCUAGAUGUUUUUCCCCCAGGUAGUAUUGAAAAGAUGAUGGGCACAAUUCUCUAGCUCUGAUGCUAUUUAUUCAGUUUAGUAUGUGUAUUGUGUUGAUUUGGUUUGCCAAUUUUUUCUCUUUCCUGGACGGCACUGUCAUUAGGUAACUUAUUAUAUUUUUUCUUUGUUCCCUUGACCUUAAUCUACAUGCUUGAUUAAUGGCUGCACCAUUUUGUUCAAGUUAUUGUGAAAAAUAUUAAAAUUAUGCCUUGUUAAUUUAAUUGCAUGUUUCCCAGGAUAUUCCUUCCUUAGCUGCUGAUGCUGCAAAAAAGUAUCCCGGUGUAUCAUACAUCAUAACGGCUCCUCUUGGCUUGCACAAGCUCCUUGUGGUAUGAGAUUUUUCUUAUUUUUCUCUCAUGGUAUUUACAUUAAUCCUGCAAGACUUUUGGAGUCAUCACUGUACUUUCAACUUGUGCUUAGCUUUAUUUUUAGCUCUCCUUACCUGAUUGAUAUGUAGAUUAUUCACGAGUACAUGGGAUAUGACAAUACUAUUCAGUUAAUGCUAUUAAAUCAAAUUUUACCCCAUAUAUAUAUAUAUUAUAUAUAUAGGCACUAAAAUUCAUGCCCAGUUAACAGCAUUCUUAACAAAUGUACAAAAGUUUCCGAUUGACUGCAUUCUUAAUUUAAUUAAAACUAAAAUGAAAACUUUCAUCCUUAUUAUUAUUUAUUUUUACCAGCUUCCAAAAAUAUAUCACUCUUUUGCAGUGUUGUUCGCUGGUUUGAUCAAAUAGUUGUGAUCAAAAUUUUUAGUCUAGUUAUAACUACUUUUAAUUGAGAAUGCAAUCAGUUAGGAACUUAUAAACUUUCUUAUUAGGAGUGCAUAUUCCAAUUUCAAGAACACCAUCAAGUAGUAUUUCUAGGUAAUCAGACCUGUGAUUUUAUGAGAUAGACCUUGUCCUACUCGCACGUUGGACUAUGGCUUAUUUUAUCUUUUAAGAGCUCGAGAGAUCAGAAUGUGUCUGAUACCCAUAUGGCUCAUUAAGCAACAGAAGUUUCUGAUUCUCAAGGGAUAGAAUUUGUGAUGCCCUCUAUUUCCCAUUAGUAGUGUGCUAGGAUAGGCUAAAACGAGAUCAAGAAACAGAAGCAGCCAAUAUUUUUUGAGUAACACGGCAUUGAGCGACGCUACUCUGGCCAUGCUAAUUAGUUUUAUGUUUUGCAUUGAUCAUGUCCAUUUGUAAAUAAUUUCUCCAUUUUCUCACUCUCUACAGUUUUAGGUUGCAAGGUUAGUAAUGUGAUAAUUAGUUUCCUCAUUCUUUAUGGGUUUUGAACUGGUUUUUGAAAGUUUGCGUUUAACAGUUCUGUGUAAUUAGAGCAAUUAUUUGUUUUAAUUAUGUUUAAUGGGAUGAUCAAUAUUGUUGCAAGCAGAUCAGAUUCUCUUAUUGUAUUAUCGUUUCGAUAUUAGUUAAUUUGCUGAGUGACAUUCAUGGGACUUCUGUCGAUAAAACUUGAUCAUUUUUCUCAUCCUGGAAGUAUUAUAAUUUUCGUUCAAUUAGCAUAUAGUUUGCUUGCUGGAGAGGUAUGCAAUAUUUAUCUUUUGUGAGAAAGGUUGUCGUUCUUUAUUUUGAAGCCACAUCAGGAAAGUAGAUUUGAUUUUGUUCGUCGGUAAAAUUGCCUUAAUUUAUUUUCUUGCAAGUGAGAGGAAAUUGAUUUGAAAAAUGAUGCAGAGGAGGAGUUCGUGGUUUGUGGGAAGGCCUGUUGUUGGAGACUGGAACUGUCCUUUUUGCUGAGGUUCUUGGCAGAACCCUAACCGGUGAAACUGUACAGAUGCAUGGUGGAGCAGACAACUUGUCUGUGUGGAUUUGCCAGAGAAGGAAUAGAAAUUGAAAGGAAAUUUGGUGGUGCAAAAAAUCUGUAAGUAUUAUUUCUAAGGAUUAAGAGAAUAAAUAAUUUAAAAUUAGAUAACAGUUUAAAGAAUUUUAAUAGAAUAUAUUUGUACAUAUAAAUUUUUUUUAAUAAUACGCGUAUUAUUUAAUAAAUUUUUUAGAAAAAAGAAUUAUUAAAAAUUGUAUUGUAAUUAAGGGUGUUUGUUUUGUUGUGGUUUUUUAUUAUAAUAUUUGUAUUUAAAAAAAAUAUUUUUGUAGUUGGGUGAGUAAAAUAUAAAAUGUUUUUGAUAAUAGUUAAAUUGAAAAUUUAUUUUUUUAUAAAUUUAAAAUAAAAAAUUACAAAAGUUACAUGAAUUUUUAUUAAGAAUAAAUGUUAUUAUUAUUGUAUAAAUAAUAACAUAUUUUCACAAUUAUUUAUAAAAUUAUUUUUAAUGGAAAACUCAGUAAGGCAGUAAAAAAAAUAUUUAUCUUUUUAAUUUUCUCUCUCUGCCGCUCCUCAUCUUCGGUCUCUGGGUUUCCUUUUUUCUGCCCCUGAGGUUCCGCGUGUUUAUAAAGCACAGAGGUUGCGUCACGGAGACGCACCUCAGCUCCUCUAUAAAAGGGCUGAGACUCUCUUUCCUCCUUACGCAUCUGCUGUCUCCUGAUCCGGUAAGGUUUUCUUCUGAUUGCCCAUUAGAUCUGGUCCCGCUCCGAUCUUCUAGAGAUUGGAGGCGGUCUUCAUUCUCUCUGAACGGAAGAGUGCAUAAAAUAGGGCUCUUCUGCUUCCGAGUCUUCUCUCUUGUGGCGAUUUAGAGGUUGCGUCACGGAGACGCAGCUCAGCUCCUCUAUAAAAGCGCUGAGACUCUCUUCCCUCCUUCCGCCUCUGCCGUCUCCUGAUCCGGUAAGGUUUUGUUUUCGAUUGCCCAUUAGAUCUGGUCCCGCUCCGAUCUUCUAGAGAUUGGAGGCGGUCUUCAUUCUCUCUGAACAGAAGAGUGCAGAAAAUAGGGCUCUUCUACUUCUGAGUCUUCUCUUUCGCGGCGAUUUAGAGGUUGCGUCGCGGAGAGGCAGCUCAGCUCCUCUAUAAAAGCGCUGAGACUCUCUUUCCUCCUUCCGCCUCUUCUGUCUCCUGAUCCGGUAAGGUUUUCUUUCGAUUGCCCAUUAGAUCUGGUCCCGCUCCGAUCUUCUAGAGAUUGGAGGCGGUCUUCGUUCUCUCUGAAGGGAAGAGUGCAGAAAAUGGGGCUCUUCUACUUCCGAGUCUUCUCUCUUGCGGCGAUUUAGAGGUUGCGUCACGGAGACGCAGCUCAGCUCCUCUAUAAAAGCGCUGAGACUCUCUUUCCUCCUUCCGCCUCUGCCGUAUCCUGAUCCGGUAAGGUUUUCUUUUUGAUUGCCCAUCGGAUCUGGUCCCGCUCCGAUCUUCUAGAGAUUGAGGCGGUCUUCAUUCUCUCUGAACGGAAGAGUGCAGAAAAAGGGGCUCUUCUACUUCUGAGUCUUCUCUCUUGUGGCGAUUUAAAGGUUGCGUCACGGAGACGCACCUCAGCUCCUCUAUAAAAGCGCUGAGACUCUCUUUCCUCCUUCCGCCUCUGCCGUCUCCUGAUCCGGCCGAAAAUGCUAAAUUACCCUCAUCCUGCUGUAUAAUUGUCUCAGGAUUG
rnacentral:lncRNA from 1 species